AACGAACGCUGGUGGCAGGCCUAAAACAUGCAAGUCGAACGCCCUAGCAAUAGGGAGUGGCGCACGGGUGAGUAACAUGUGGGAAUAUGCCUUUUGGUACGGAACAACGUUUGGAAACGAACGCUAAUACCGUAUGGUCCCUCCGGGGUAAAGAUUUAUCGCCAAAAGAUUAGCCCGCACUAGAUUAGCUAGUUGGUAAGGUAAUGGCUUACCAAGGCGACGAUCUAUAGCUGUUCUGAGAGGAAGAUCAGCCACACUGGGACUGAGACACGGCCCAGACUCCUACGGGAGGCAGCAGUUAGGAAUAUUGGACAAUGGGCGCAAGCCUGAUCCAGCCAUGCCGCGUGAGUGAUGAAGGCCUUCGGGUUGUAAAGCUCUUUAGCCGACGAAUAUAAUGACUGUAGUCGGAGAGUAAGCCCCGGCUAACUUCGUGCCAGCAGCCGCAGUAA
rnacentral:rRNA from 1 species